rnacentral:rRNA from 1 species
UUCUGGCGUCAGGAUGAACGCUAGCUACAGGCUUAACACAUGCAAGUCGAGGGGUAGCAGGGUAGCAAUACCGCCGACGACCGGCGCGACGGUGAGUAACACGUAUCCAACCUUCCAUAACUCAGGGAUAGCCUUUACGAAAGAAAGAUUAAUACCUGAUAGUACUUUUUCAAGGCAUCUUGAAAAAGUUAAAGAUUUAUUGGUUAUGGAUGGGGAUGCGUUCCAUUAGAUAGUUGGUGAGGUAACGGCUCACCAAGUCUUCGAUGGAUAGGGGUUCUGAGAGGAAGGUCCCCCACAUUGGUACUGAGACACGGACCAAACUCCUACGGGAGGCAGCAGUGAGGAAUAUUGGUCAAUGGGCGAGAGCCUGAACCAGCCAAGUAGCGUGAAGGAAUGAAGGUCCUAUGGAUUGUAAACUUCUUUUAUAGUAGAAUAAAGUGAGCCACGUGUGGUUUUUUGUAUGUAUACUAUGAAUAAGGAUCGGCUAACUCCGUGCCAGCCGCAGC